GUUAGGUCCUAUGUGUUAGCAAGUUUCGUGGGUCGAGUCGGAGUCUUGAAGUAGUCCGGAGCGGAGUAUUGAAGAUCGAAGAAUCCAAGACUUCGAAGAAUCGGAAAGGACGCAAAACACGCAAAACUUGAAUCCCGAUGCUUAGGUAAGCUUUAAAUCUUGUUUAUGGUGAUUCAUACUUAAUUAUAGAUCUUAGAAUCAUAUUUUCAAGUUGUAAUUGAUUAGAAAGUUUCUAAGAGCUUGUAAAACUCGAAAUAAUGCAUUUUCAGCGAAAAUUGCAUUGUUGUACCGGUACAAGGGUGUUGCUGUACCAGUACAGACAUCGGCUAUUGCUGCUGAGUUUUUCGAUGGUUGUUCCGGUACAACCAUCAUGGCUGUACCAGUACAAGACCUGUUCCGGAACAAGCUGCAGUCUGUUUAGGGUACAGAAGCUUCGCAGAAAAAUCUUCAGUCAUGCUGUACCCUAGACAGCUUCUCUUGUACCGGUACAAGGUGCUGAAUAUGGAAAGAAUCUUUCUCAUCCUACUCCGGUUUGAUUCUAAAGUCUAUAAAUAAGCUAUUGGGCUUCUCUAACAUAUUAAGCAUCACGAAAAUACAUGUUUGAGAAACCCUAGAGGCUCGGAUUUCAUCUAAAACCUAUUUUCUACAAAAAGCCUCUUUUAGGUCAAAUCGAGAGAUUGAAUUUUCAGAUCAAUAUGUCGAUUUGAUUUCCACUUCGCUUGGAGUUCGCUUCCCUGGUUUUCAUCGAUACUCUAAGCGAAGGAUCACCAUACACAUAAUGUUCUUCAUGAUGGCGUCGUGGAUUCGGCGUGUUUGACGGCGGUUCGUAGAUUCGGAUCGUGGGCUCGUGGAUUCGAGUGACGUUCGUGGAUUCGAACGUGUGCGAGGCGUUCGUGGAUUCAGACGUGAGGGCGUGGACAACCCGGAGGAUUGCGCGAGAUCCAUAGGAGGUUAAGAGAGGUUGAGUCCGUGGAGUCGGUAAUCACCUUGUAAUCUUUUCUCUUAGUGGAUUAUUUUUUCGCGUGUUGGUCCCGUGGGUUUUUCUCCAAAUUGGAGCUUUCCUACGUAAAUCUCGGUGUGAUUUUUAUUUUUCCGCAUUUAUUUUUAUCGCAUUGAGAUUUGUGGUUUCUGGUUAUUUCACCUAUUCACCCCCCCUCUAGGUGAUAGAUACAAUCUAGAUAGAUCCUUGGGCUCCUCAAAACUUUCAAUUGGUAUCAGAGCCGGAUCUAGAUAAAUUGUUUAUCUAAUGGCCGAAGGUGGAAACAUUAAUCGACCACCGCUUUUCGAUGGCACAAACUAUGCCUAUUGGAAAGUUCGCAUGAGAGCUUUUCUAAUUGCAAUCGAUGAGCGCGUUUGGCAAUCUAUUGAAUUUGGAUGGAAACAUCCUAUUGAAAAGGUCGAGAAUGUCGAAACGCCAAAACCACGGACCAAGUGGGCGAAAGAUGAAAACGAGUUAUCUUCGUUUAAUGGUAAGGGCAUAAAUGCUUUAUUUAAUGCAUGGCCACAAACGGAGUUUACUCGCGUUUCGGCAUGUGAAACCGCCAAGAAAAUUUGGGACAUUCUACAAAUACACAUGAAGGUACUAGUUUAGUAAAAAUUCAAAAGCUCCAAAUGUUGACUAGUCAAUUUGAUUCUAUUCGUAUGGAGGAGCAUGAAUCUUUCACCGAUUACUAUACUAGACUUCAAGAUAUUAUUAACACAUGUGCUAAUUUAGGAGAGAAGAUCCCGGAUGCUAAAGUUGUUCGUAAAAUUCUUCGAACUCUUCCGGAACGUUUUCGGGCUAAAGUAGCCGCGAUCGAAACGGUCAAACAUCCGGACGAGAUGAAAGUCGAAGAGUUAGUGGGUGCUUUUCAAACUUAUGAGAUGACUUUUCCUACUAACCAAUCUUCUUCCGAGUCUUUUUCUAAAAGCACAGGGGUUGCACUCAAAUCAACAAAGAAAGAAGAAGACGAUUCGAAAUCCGAUGAAGAUGUAUCGCUUGCCGACUUUGAACAUCAACUUGCACUUCUCACGAAAAAGUUUCGCCGGAAUUUCUGAAAGAGCAAAUUGAAUAAACCUUCAUCUUCGAAGCAACAAACAUUUCCUAAGUCUUCAUCUUCUAACGAGAAGAAGCGUGCAAAGGCUUCAAAAGAAAAGGAAGAAUUUGAAGGCGAGAUCCGAUGCUACAAGUGCAAAGGCUACGGCCACAUCGCGACGGAUUGUCCUUCAAAGAAGGCUUAUAAGUAAAAGGCUUUGCAAGCAAAGACGUGGGAUGAUACAACUUCAAGUGAUUCAAGUUUAAGUAACGAAGAAAAGAAUGAAAAUCUUGCUUUAUUUGCUAAAUCUACCUUGCCUUCGUCUAACGUUGUGUGUUUAUCUUCCAUUGCUACUAAUUACAAUAUUUCUCUUUCUUCACAUGAUUCUUCGAGCGACAAUGGCGAAAGCGAGGUCGACGACGACAUAGCGGAAGCAUACAAUCAACUUCUUAUUGAAUCAAAGAAGAUGGCUAAACUUAAUAAGAAGUUGAGGCGUUGUUUGUUGAAUCUCGAAGAGGAAAACAACAACUUGAAGACCACGAACAAAGCUCUUGAGGAGGAAAGGGAAUCAAUUUUGAAAAAUAAUUCGGACCUCCAAGAGAAGCUUAAUGAAGCGGAAUCAACGAUCAAAUCUUCUAACGACAAGAUUGGAUUUUUGGAGCAUCAAUUUCAUGAAUCGCACAAGUCCAAUCAAGCCUUGAUCGACCAAGUUCGUCAACUCCAAACCGACAUUCAAAAGUUUUCAUCGGGAUCUAAGAAAUUGGAUCAAAUGCUUGGAUUGGGUCAAACAAACAAGAUGGGCCUUGGUUAUGAACGAACAUACGUUGAGAAGGAUUCAAAAUCAACUUCUAAAGUCUCAACAAUUUCGAAAGAGAAGGUAUGUCAUAAAUGUGGCAUGAAAGGACACAUUAAAAGAAAUUGCUUAAAUAAGGAAACGAAGAAUCAAUCGGCAAUGUCUAAACCUCAAUCGACAUCACCUUCAACUCGACAUCCACCAAGGAAUCAAAAGAAAGAUCGAUUGAAUGUGCAACGCAAAAUCCGACCGAAUCCUAUUGCAAACCGGAAUUCUAAGCCUAAAAGACAAGUUCAACCGAAGCCUCAAGCGACGAAACGACCAACGGUUGAUCAAAAAUCUAAACAAACGGCACCUAACGUCAACAAGUCGAGAAAACCAACGAUUCAACAAGUUUGGAUCCGGAAAGGUGAUAUUUUUCCUUGCUCUUUGUCUUAGUUUGUUUUAUUGUUUAUGUAAUGCUUUGUUUGGUGCUUAUUGCAUAGUUUUAUUCAUUGCAUUACAUGUUUAGACGAUUUUUGGUGCUUGAAUUUUUUUUUUGGUUUAUAAAUCGGUUUGAGGAGAGGUGUUUGGAAAUUUAAAAAUUUUUUGAGAAAGGAGAUGAUUGAGAAUCAAUUUUUUUUUUUUGAGAAGAGAAUUUUUUUCAAAGUUGUUGAAACGGUGUUUAACUUCACAAUCAUAUUAAGUUAAAUUUAUAUUAAUUAUCAUUUUUACUCCACUUUUUAUUAUUUUGACGAUAAUUUAAUAUAUAAUUUCUUAAUACAUAUAUUUAUCAAAAUUUUGAAAUCAAAUUUGAUCUCUUGGUGAUUAAUCUAUCUCGGUUGUGUGUGUUAAAUAUGAUAGAUGGAUAUUCGCUAAUAGACUAAAAUUUGUCAAAAUAUUUUCAAUUGUGAGAUUGUCUAAUUUAGGGGGAGUUUGAAAUUGUUUAAAAAAAAAGAAAAAAACUCCUAUGUUUAAAAAGAUGUGGAAAGAGUUACAUCCAAAAGGAGUGUGAAAACUACAACCACAUGUAGGAAAGAGCUACCACCCCGGUCGUCCGGUAAGUGUGUGAAGCUACCACAUGAAGAUUGAAUUGAUUAACCGAAAGAAAGGUUGAAAAAUAAAUAAAUAUUUUAGAAUCUUCGGUGUUAUAAGGUGGUAAGUUGAAAAGAUGCUCAAAGAGCCACCCCCGGAGCUAUAUUAGGUAAAUCUCUAUUUUGAACGGAUUGCGACAAAUUGGUGUCAAUUUAGCCGAAUUUCUAUAAAAUUAUUUUUUCAUGAACUGUUACAUCUUGAUGAUUUUGAAACUUGAGAUUAUUUUUUAUAACAAAAUUUUGGUAUUUCGAUGUAUUUUGAGAUCUUAUAAUAUUUUACCUUCAUUAUAAUAAUUUUUGGAGUUAAAGCCUUAAUUUGUAUGAAUUUAUUUAAAUGUGAUGGAUUUUUAAAGCAUAAUUUUCGAAAAAAAAUUUCACAUUUUGCUCAUUGUACCGGUACAAGAACCCGUGUACCGGUACAAGGUCUGUACCCGAGCGGCUUAUAACCGGGUAUAGCGUUUCAUUUUAUCUCAAAUCAAAACCAAAUUUCUCUCUUUCUCUCUCUAAAAAUCCCCGGUGCCUUCCUCUUCCAGAUCUCCACGAUUUCCUGCCGAAAUUUGUGAGUAUUUAGCUUGGAUUUAUUCGUUUCAUCGCGUUCAUGUUUAUUUUUUGAAAAUAUUCCAAGUUGAAGCUAGAUCUCUGUUUUUAAUCGUUUUUGAUGUAAUUUUUUGCUGUAGAUCAGUGCUUAAGGACAUUAUCUUGCUUCUAGAACACUUAGAUCAGGUUAUAACGCUAUAUUUUUCGUUGAUCUAUGAUCCUUAUAUCAUAAUACAUGGAAUUUCGGGAUUUUGGUGCAAUAUCAAUUUUUUGAUAAAAUUUUUUGCAUGGAUGAGUUGGAAAUAGCAUUAGUAUCCAUUCUAAGAUUAUCAGAUAUUUUUUUGCUAUUUUUACAGAUUUUUUCAAAAUUUUCUUCAUAAAUGGCUCAUUUUCAUGUAGGAAAUGGUGUUUUCGCUCGUGAUCCUACUUUUGGUGCUUAUGGCCGCCAGUCGUGGUCGUGGUGGUGGUUGAGGACGACGUGGAACCUCAAAGAGAGACCAUGCUGCUACAGGAGAGUCCGGUUCAGAUCCGGAGUAUCAAGCAAGCUCACAAGAAGAAACAGAAGAAUCGGUGACUCGAGCUGCUAAAGGAAAGGGUGUUGUGGGCGAAUCAUCUCGUGGCGGUGGUUCUCGUACGCGUGAGGGACAUACAAAACAAGCUGCGGAUGUCCCUUCAGCACGACAAAGGUUAUAUAUGUCGAAGUCGUGCAUAGCUGAGCGCUUCGUGAACUUCAAUGACCUGAUUCGGGAUGUUCCUGAUUUUGGACGACUGCUACAGCGUGCACCGAUUGAGCCAGUUGGACGGAUCCCUACCAAGGCUCCCUUCUGUGUGGAACUCAUUCGGGAGUUCUAUAUGAAUGGAAAGGUGCUUGCUGAUGACGAGGAGACAGGCACUUUUCUUUUUGAGACUGUUGUGCGUAAGAAGAGAGUCCCAGUUACUCCCUAUACUAUUGGAGAGAUCUUGGGAAUGCAUGUAGACACUACAGGUAUUCUCUAUACAACAGGAGGAUUCCAAUCGUCAACUCACAUGGAUAUUGUUCUUGGAGCUAUAUGCAAGGCCGGUGUUCACAUGACUCAUGGCUACAUAGAAUCCAAGGAUUUAUUACCUGAGUACCACUUGCUAUCUUUGGUCAUGAGCUACAAUGUUCAACCAACCAUCGGCACGAAGAGGAUCCGUUGGGAGAGAUUAGUUUUGCUAUAUCUUCUUGGUCAUCCUGAGCAGGCUCAUGGAUUGAACAUCAACAUUCCAUUUCUGAUCUGGCAAAGGAUGAUACACGUGAUUCAGGGUGCCACUCGACGGGAUCUACUUCCAUUCCCUGUUCUGAUUACGAGGAUUCUACAAGCAAAUGGAGUAGAUACAUCAUGUGACAAGUAUGAUGUUGGCCUUGGGCCUAUUGAUUCAGUGACUUGGGCUAAGUCUGUUAGCACUCUCAAGUCAUUCCAUCAGACCAAGGGGCCACCUCCUGAAGCAUCUAGCCCAGCACCUCCACCGAGAGCAGCUUCUAGCUCUGCUCCUCUGCCUCCAUCCCGAGGGAGUUAUGGUACUUCAUCUAGUUCGGGGGAAACGACGACGUUGGAAUCAGUUAAGGAGGAUUUGCGAAAAUUAAAGAAGAAUGUGAACAAUAUUGGGAGAAAAGUUGAGUCAAGCAUCAAGACAUUUGAAUUAAGUAUCAAAAGGAUGAUGGAUAAGAUGGGGUGUCGACAUGAUGAUAUUUGGGAACCUACUCCAUUUUAUGGCACGUAUCAGCGGUCAUCUUCCCAACAUCCACUCAUUCCUCCUGCAACAGGUGCGUCAGGCGCUGGAGCAUCUGGAUCUAGUGCUGGCGCAGAGGAUGAUGACGACGAGGACACAGAGUGAUGUUUUCCAGAGCUUCAUGUUUUAUCUUAGAUUUAUGUUUUCAUGUUUAGUUUACACUUCUACUUGUAUUUGUUGCUUUCUCUCUUAGGCCUGUAUCUAUAAUUUAACUUUGAUGUUUCUUUUUAGUGGAUUUUCUCUUUUUAUGCUUUUUGGCAAUUUUCUGACAAAAAGGGGGAGAUCACAAGAUGAACAGGUAAUUGAACAAAGGGGGAGAAGUGGUGAACAAAGGUGGAGAAAAGAAGAAAGAAGCAAUUGAACAAAGGGGGAGAAUGGUAAAAGAAUAAAUUGAACAAAUUGGAAUGUUUUGCAGGAUUUCAAGACUUCAAGACUCCUAGUUGCGUCUAAGUCAUAGAGUCUGUUUUAGGAGUUUUGAAUGUAUUUUGAGUUUUAAUUUGUAUUUAGAUUACACGCGAGAGGUUCAUUAUUUUGGUAAUGACAAUUGAACUUCGUUUUUUUUUUAAAUGUAAUGUUUGUGGUUUGAGUGUGUUUUGUCACGAAAUUGCCAAAGGGGGAGAUUGUUAGGUCCUAUGUGUUGGCAAGUUUCGUGGGUCGAGUCGGAGUCUUGAAGUAGUCCGGAGCGGAGUAUUGAAGAUCGAAGAAUCCAAGACUUCGAAGAAUCGGAAAGGACGCAAAACACGCAAAACUUGAAUCCCGGUGCUUAGGUAAGCUUUAAAUCUUGUUUAUGGUGAUUCAUACUUAAUUAUAGAUUUUAGAAUCAUAUUUUCAAGUUGUAAUUGAUUAGAAAGUUUCUAAGAGCUUGUAAAACUCGAAACAAUACAUUUUCAGCGAAAAUUGCAUUGUUGUACCGGUACAAGGAUGUUGCUGUACCGGUACAGGCAUCGGCUAUUGCCGCUGAGUAUUUCGAUGGUUGUUCCGGUACAACCAUCAUGGCUGUACCGGUACAAGACCUGUUCCGGAACAAGCUGCAGUCUGUUCAGGGUACAGAAGCUUCGCAGAAAAAUCU
rnacentral:lncRNA from 1 species